CACUUAGCAGAAAAAAUGCAGGUAUAUUAGCUCACUUGAUGGUUUCAAAAUGUAAGGAAAUAGGGGCUGCACAACACGUACGACUUCAGGAUCUGAAGACAGUCACAUGUUUGGCCCACUUGACUGUUCAACAUAAGUUGAUCAAGAGAAUAAAGGAAGCUCAGUCCGUCGAUUCCACCCUAGCAGCCAUCAAAAAAGACGUAGAAUAGGGAGUUAACUCAGAAUUUCA
rnacentral:lncRNA from 1 species